CUCCCCCUCUCUCUGUCCCUCCCCUGCUCUUGGGCUCUUUCUCCCUCAACAAUAAAUAAACAUUAAAGGAAACAGUUGCUCUCGUGGGCUUGAUCUUCUUUAACCCUUGUCCCAGCUCAGCGAGGCAAGAGCCCGGUUUGAGAUAAGGAAACAAAAGCUCAGGGAAGUCCCGUAGCAGGACGUGAAUCCGGGCCUCCUGGUCUCGGUAACUGCCAACAGACGUGCUUCCUUAGAUCUGCGGCUGAAGCACACCGUGGAGGCCCGGUAAAUAUGCAUGGGGCUGAAUUCAGGGUAGGGGAAGCUGCUCUCCGGUUCCCCAAUCCUGAGUUUGGGAAGGUUCUUGCGAUGAAUGGUAGUAGCAGAAAUGACCAGGCACCAAGGCAUCUUUGGCCUCCGGUGACCCCCACCUUUAUCCACCCCGUCAAUGAACGCGGGCCAGCUUUCAGAUCUGGCCGCAGUCUGCCGGGAUGGGCUGUCAAAAGGCUUCAUUGCACCUGCCCGCCCCACCAGCCCCGCUUGGGGCCAAGGGUGAGAGUCAGUCUAGGGGCUGAGGGCCCGUGAGAGGGUGGGUGCAGAGAGAGAGAGAGAGAAUCCCAAGCCCGCUCUGCACUGUCAGCGCCGAGCCCGACUCAGGGCUUGAACCCGCAAACCGUGAGAUCGUGACCUGAGCUGAAGUCAGACGCUGAACCGACUGAGCCACCCAGGCGCCCCACAGCCCCCUCUCCUAAGGUCCCGAAGUGAGGGUCCUGCACAGGAGGGAAAAACAGUAGACAGGCCGCCCGCAGGCUGCAAAGGGCACCACCUGUCCUCGGACGUGGGCCCCAUUUCCUCCUAACCUACAUCAACGGCACAUCUCCUUGGCGGUGAUCGCCUGGCCAUUCCUAUCCGUGGAGGAACAUCACACUUCUGUACUGAGGGCCUCUGCGCAUCUAACGGGAAGGACACCUCUUUGAGGGGAGGACAGGGUCCACUGCUGCGCCCUCGGCACCUUGCUAAGCGUCCCCUCACAUGUGAUGGAGAAACGAGUCCUGCGUGAUGACGGGGGCAGGGGCGUCCCUGGAAUGGUGCAAAGCCUCUGCUUCAGAAGUGCUGCCAUCUAGCAGGGGAGGUAAGCUGUGCACAACCCAGGGUGGAAAGGACAAGGACAGAGGGCCCUGGGCUUUGGCCCCAGCAGCAAGCACGGAGAACAGCUUCACGAAGGAGAGGAAGUCCCUCGAGAGCAGCAAUAAGUAACACGCCUUAUCAGGUGCCACGAUAUUCCCAUUCACCUGGCCGGGGCCCGGGCCUGCUUACCAGCCGGGGAAAUGCCCAGCGGGGCGGGGAAGUCGGGCCGGCAGAGCCUUGGGGUCAGGCUUUCUGCUGAGGGGACACAGCCGUCGCAGGGAGGCAGGGCUUUGGAUCAGCUGAUCAUCGACCUGACAAUAUCUAAGAGACCUUUCUGUGAUGCUCUAAGCCUUCCUUCUUUUCCGCCACUGGUGAGAAUGAGGCCACGUGAGCAAUUGGAGGUGUGUGUGUGUGUGUGUGUGUGUGUGCACGUGAGCAGGGAAGAAAAUCCGGUCCAGACAUAGUGACCAUUCCGGUUCAAGGGUUUGUUGUUGUUGUUGUUGUUGUUGUUGUUUAAAGACGUCUGGUAAAGUACACCUAACAACAUUUACCAUCUUAGGGUUACAAGUCGAUAGCAUUCAGUACAUUCGCAGUGUUGCACUACCAACACCACUAUUUUCCAGAACUUUCUCAUCUGCCCUACAGGAAACCUGACAACCACUAGGCAGCCUGGCGGACGUAAUGAGAAUUACCUGUGACAAGAGACAGGAGAGUCCCGGGCUCAUGGCUACAAACCUCUCCCAGCCAACCGCAGCCACCCCUCCGGCUCACCAGUCAGUGGAUGCAAAAUGGCUUAGACCCCGGGAAGGGGCAGCCUGGGCCAGGUUAGGCCGGAGGGGGCUCUGAGCCUGCCACCCCCCUCCCAGGUGUCCUGGUCCCUCAGUUCUAAACCACACACCCCCCUCGCCCGCCGUCUCUGCUCCUAGGAACAUGAGUCCUAGAGACUCAAGCCCGGAGAACUCAGUAUGUGUUACCAUCAUAACCCCAGGGUGGAGGGGUUCCAGAUGAUCUUAAUUUUUCCUGUCAUAUUUCUCUGGAGCUUUUAGCGUCCAGCUGACCAAGACCUUGAGUGUGACCGGGGAAGACUGUCUCAUGACCAAUUAAGAUUCAACAGCGGCUCCUUCUCCUGAUGAGGAAACCGAGAUGUGCCAGGGUUGGGACUUGCCCAAGAUUAACCGUAAGUGAAUACAGAACCGGAAUUCAAAUCUAGGCUUGUCCAACUUCAGCAGUCGCGUUGGAGGACAGUGAAGUAUCCUGAGCCGUUCUCAGUGUCUCGUGCCCGAGGGAAGGAGUUUUGUGGCCGUGGCGAGGGGCCAUUGAGUCAGGAAGACAAUAGGAGCCUUCUGCUGGGCACCCUCUGGAAAGGGUCUCCGGAGGAACCGUGGCCUUGGUGAAAUCUUGCGUCUAGCCGGUCCUUCCCUAUUAAUCCCCGCAUCCAAGAAGAGAAGCCGCCAGCUUGACCUGGCUGACAACAACACAGAAGCUCUUCACCCGCCUACGGAGUCCGUUGUAGGGUCGACAGCUUUCCCUGCGACACAGCUGGACAUCGGCCGUCAGCUGGUUGAGUGACAACGUCAUCCGUCUUUGAGCCAGAACCCGGCUGGCAUUCCGGUCCUCCUGCGUGACCUUGGCUCUCCCAUUUCACCAUCUGAGCCUCGGCUGUCCUCAUCCGUGAAGUGGGGGGUGACCACAUCACGCAUCGGAUCGCCGUAAGAUACAGAGGAGUUGGCACGGACGGGGAGGAUCGUGCCCGGGACACGGCGUGCGCUUGGUUGGGUCCAAUCGUGAGGGAAAUGUGAGUCUCCUGGCAGAGAUAAUUUUGUGGCAGGAGGGUUCCGAUCGGGGAAGGGGGUUAGCCGGCCGUGCCCAGUACCGAAGAUAGGCCAGUACCCAGGGGCGACACAUGAGUCAGCCUCAAUGAUUCCCCAUAACGCCUGUAAGGCGAACAACAUGUAUUUAACGCGGGCAUGGCAAUCGCUUGAGGUCCCCCCCAUCAAUCACGCCCUGGGGCCCAGGGAGACCAGCGGGGCAGCCUCCAGUGGGCCAAGUAAGGCCUGAGACAGCCGUUUUGUGGUCUUGCUCAGACUUAGCUACUAAAUGCUUUGGGGCCUUCGGCAAAUUACUUAACUUCUCAGUGUCUCAGCUCUCCUUAUCUAAAAUGGGGAUAAUAAUACUUACCUACCUCACGGGGCUUGUUGCAAGAAUUAAUUAAAGUUUAUGAAGGGCUUUGAGAUUCCCGGAUAAAAGGCCCUACAAAAGUACAAAGUAUUAUUAUCGUAAUCUAGUAGACUAUAAAAGAUAAUUUUGCAGGAAAAGGCAAAAUUUUAAUUUCCAUACAAGCAGAAACAAAGGCAGAUAUAGUCACAGAAAGUAAAAAAAAAAAAAAAAAAAAAAAAAA